AAGUCGAACGGUAACAGGUCUUCGGAUGCUGACGAGUGGCGAACGGGUGAGUAAUACAUCGGAACGUGCCCGAGAGUGGGGGAUAACGGAGCGAAAGCUUUGCUAAUACCGCAUACGAUCUCAGGAUGAAAGCAGGGGACCGCAAGGCCUUGCGCUCACGGAGCGGCCGAUGGCAGAUUAGGUAGUUGGUGGGAUAAAAGCUUACCAAGCCGACGAUCUGUAGCUGGUCUGAGAGGACGACCAGCCACACUGGGACUGAGACACGGCCCAGACUCCUACGGGAGGCAGCAGUGGGGAAUUUUGGACAAUGGGCGCAAGCCUGAUCCAGCCAUGCCGCGUGCAGGAUGAAGGCCUUCGGGUUGUAAACUGCUUUUGUACGGAACGAAAAGACUCCUUCUAAUAAAGGGGGUCCAUGACGGUACCGUAAGAAUAAGCACCGGCUAACUACGUGCCAGCAGCCGCGGUAAUACGUAGGGUGCAAGCGUUAAUCGGAAUUACUGGGCGUAAAGCGUGCGC
rnacentral:rRNA from 1 species